AUUCAAAUAUCUUAUAUAGAGUAUAACAUUGAAGCUGUUAUUGAGAUAGAAAUUAUCUUUGGAU
rnacentral:tRNA from 1 species